GUGCGGUAGCUGUUGUCCCUCCGCUCCGCUGCGAGCUGCUGGCACCGGUUGUCGCCGCCGUCGCCUGAGGUGUCGCGAUAGCAGCAGCAGCCUGGCCGUGCCCCGGUGUCACUGAGGAUGAGCCCCCGCGCUGCCCAGCGCACGUCCCGCACUGCCCGCCCGAGUCCAUUCAUCUAGCGACUGGUCUCCCUUGCAAUUAUGGCGUUUUAGAAGAAUAAGGUAGUGUGGAGGGGGAAUCCCCCUCUCCACACUUGAGGUAGUUCACUUUUGGAGUUUUCUAUGGACAAGAAUGUUUGUUAUAUAAGAUGGUGAAAUAAGACUUCUAAAAAUAUAUAUAUUUAUAAAUAUUUAUUUGGAUCAAGUGCCAAACAUAGCAGUACAAAGAUUUCUAAUGGCAGCUCAAUAAAACUGGAUUUACAUUCUUGGAAUUAUAAGUUUUUUAAGGCACUGUGUUGUGUACUGAAUUGGAAUGCCUUGAUACACCGAAGGGUUGUUCCCCUUAAGGAGAGAAGCAGCUUCAGAAUUGAAGAUGAGUUCUUUCAUGCCAGACUGCACUUCAAAGUGUCGAUCUCUACAGCAUGCUUUGGAUGUUAUUUCUGUGGUCACCCGAGGAAGUGAAGGCCAGAUCAAGGCCUUUCUCUCUUCUUACUGCUACAAUGCUGCAACUAUCAAGGAUGCCUUUGGUAGAAACGUUAUACAUCUUGCUUCAUCUUGUGGCAAAAAAGGCGUGCUAGACUGGUUAGCUGAGACCAAAGGAGUAGAUCUCUUGGCGAAAGACAAAGAGUCUGGAUGGACAGCUUUGCACAGAAGUAUAUUUUAUGGAUACAUUGAUUGUGUUUUGUCAUUACUAAAGCAUGGCGUUAGCCUGUAUGUUCAGGAUAAAGAAGGCUUAUCAGCUCUGGAUCUUGUGAUGAAAGAUAGGCCAGUCCAUGUGGUAUUCAAGAAAACUGAUCCCAUGGAAGUCUACACCUGGGGAAAUAAUAGAAAUUUUACUUUGGGUCAUGGCGGUCAACAAGGUAAACAUCAUCCUGAAUUGGUGGACCUUUUUCCUCGGAAUGGCGUGUAUAUCAAACAGGUGGUACUCUGUGAAUUCCACUCUGUGUUCCUUUCUCACAAAGGUCAAGUUUAUACAUGUGGACAUGGACAAGGAGGGCGCUUGGGUCAUGGUGAUGAACAAACAUGCCUAGUUCCAAGACUCGUGGAAGGCUUAGCUGGCCAUCAGUGCUCCCAGAUAGCUGCAGCUAAGGAUCAUACUGUUAUUUUAACAGAAGAUGGAUAUGUUUACACAUUUGGUUUAAAUACUUUCCAUCAAUUGGGUAUUCUUCCUCCUCCUGCUAAUUGCAGUGUUCCUAGACAGGUUCAGGCAAAAAACCUGAAAGGUAGAAUGGUGAUUGGAGUGGCUGCAGGCAGAUUCCAUACAGUGCUAUGGACUAAGGAAGCAGUGUAUACCAUGGGGCUGAAUGGCGGCCAACUAGGUUAUCUUCUGGAUCCCAAUGGAGAAAAAUGUGUAACUUCACCUCGCCAAGUUUCUGCUCUACACCAUAAAGAUAUCUCUGUGUCCUUGGUCUCUGCAAGCGAUGGCGCUACAGUAUGCAUUACCGAAAGAGGAGAUAUUUAUUUACUUGCAGACUAUCAGUGCAAAAAGAUAGCUUCAAAACAGCUGAACCUUAAAAAAGUUCUUGUUAAUGGGGGAUAUUUGGAAUAUAAGGUAGAUACCCAGCAUCUUCAAGAAAAUGAGGGUCAGAAGAUUUGCAUUUUAGCACUGGAUGAAGCUGGAAGAGUGUUUUGCUGGAAGUCAUCUAACAACUCCAUGAAGCAGUGUCGUUGGGUGUAUGGCCGGCAAGUCUUCAUGUCCGAUGUUGCUUUAAACAGGAAUGAGAUAAUGUUUGUCACACAGGAUGGUGAAGCCUUUACAGGCAAGUGGCUGGAAGAAGUAAAAAAAGUCUCAGAAAAAAAAGCAGAACUCGUCUCAAGCCUUCAGAAUUCUUCAUUUGAUACAUCUUGUGAACAUGAUACAAACAGUGUGUAUGAAAGAAUUCGACUUCAGAAGCUUACUUUUGUCCACCGAGCUGUUAGCAUUGCCACCGAUCCUAGUGGUUGUAAUUUUGCGGUUUUACAGUCAGAUCCUAAAACAAGCCUCUAUGAAAUUCCAAGUGUGUCGUUAUCAAGUUUUGGAGAGGAUUUUGGCAAACUCUUAGAUGAAACAGAUGAAAUGGAUAGCAUCCAUGAUGUGACUUUUCAGAUUGGCACAAGAACUUACCCCGUGCACAAAUACAUCUUGGCUGCACGCUCUGACUUCUUCAAGAAGCUGUUUGUUUCCAGUGACAACCAGCUAGACACUCCAGAUGUCUACCGUAAAGAUGAAGAUGCUGUUGGAUGUGAUCUUUAUGUAAUAGAGAAAGUUCAUCCAGAUCUGUUUACAUACCUUCUGCAAUUCAUAUACACUGAUACUUGUGAUCUUUUGACUCAUGGUUAUAAACCAAAAAUCCUGCAUAAAGGAAAAUCAGAAGAAUAUCAAGAUACUUUAAUUUCUAACCUGAGCAAAAUGAGUUUUGAUGAAAAUGUUAAUGGAAAGUCUGCAUUUGAGAUCUAUAGAAAUAAUCAAGUGCAAGUUAUAAAUGAAAAACAGAAGAGCAAAUCCAAAAAAAGCAAAGUUAUUGGUGAAGAAGCUAACCUCAUAAAAAUGUUGCAAAGUGCUGCAAGGAAGUUUGGACUCAGCAAUUUAAGUGGAAGGCUGGAUGGAGUCAGAUUAGAAAAUGGAAAAAUUAACGUUGUCAACAAGAAGAAUGGGAACAAACCAAAGUUAAACCAGAAGAAAUGUUCGUACCUCUGCGAUGUGACCCUGAAAUCUUUAGAUGGAAAGGAAUUCCCGUGUCAUAAGUGUGUGCUUUGUGCAAGACUUGAUUAUUUUCACAGCAUGUUAAGCAGCUCAUGGAUUGAGGCUUCCUGUUGUUCAGCUCUAGAAAUGCCAAUCCAUUCUGACAUACUACAGAUAAUUGUAGAUUACCUGUAUACAGAUGAAGCUCUUGCAAUAAAAGAUUCUCAAAAUGUGGAAUUCAUAUGUAAUGUUCUCGUGGUAGCUGACCAACUUCUUAUAUCCAGACUCAAAGAAAUCUGUGAAGUAGCCAUUGCGGAAAGACUUACUUUGAAGAAUGCUGCUGAGCUGCUGGAGUUCUCAGCAAUGUAUAAUGCUGAACAGUUAAAACUGUCCUGCUUGCAGUUCAUAGGACUCAAUAUGGCAGCUUUACUUGAAGCAAGGACUCUGGAUGUCUUAAGUGAUGAAGUUGUAAAGGAUCUUUCUGUUUAUUACAGGAAAAUGAUUCCAGCUAUGGUCAGGAGAGUAAUUACUCCAUAUCCAGAUGGACCUGAUAUAAGUUCUUUAGAGCCUGAAGAUGGAGAGAACUUUGUCUUUUUAAGGGAAGAAAUGAAUACAGAACAAAAUUCUCAGGAAGCUCUUUUCAAAAAAGCAAAAACUAAGGCAAAAAAGAAGCCACGGAAACGGUCCGACAGCUCUGGAGGAUAUAAUCUAUCAGAUAUUAUUCAGAGUCCAGCCUCUACAGGCUCAGUAAAACUGGAUAAAACUAACUCUGUAGAAUCGCUUCCAGAAUUCUUAACAUCUGACUCUGAAGGUAGUUACGCAGGAGUGGGUAGCCCCAGAGACGUGCAGUCCCCUGACUUCACAAAACCGUUUCAUCCAGAAAGGACCGAGAUGAGGGACAAAUCAUGCAGUCAGGGAAUGAAACCCCCUCAAUCUAGCAAGGAGAUGAAGUCAUACAAGGGAUCAUCAGCAUUGGCACAGUCUGUUCCACAGUCCAUUCCCAGUGCCAGAAACAGCUCUGCAAGCUCUCCCAACUGGUUAGCAACCAGUUUCAGGUGGAGUAUUACCUGUGCCCUGCCAGCCCUCCUGCCAUGGAUCUUAGAACCAUCAUGGAAAUUGAAGAAAGUAUGCAGAAAAGUGGAACCAUGCCAAAGGCAAAUUCAGGCAAAAUGGUGUCUCAUGGAAUCAAGCUUUCUCAGAAGCAAAGGAAAAUGAUUGCCCUGGCAGCAAAAGAUAAUGGAUCAGUAAUGAGCAGCAUGGAGCCUACUACACUGAUAACCACACCACCCCCACCUACAAAAGUUGCAAAACUAGGGAAUGCAUGGUCGUCUGGAUUACAUUCUGCUUUGCCAAAGUCAUUCCGUGAUCUUGUAAUGGAAGAAGAAAAAUGUAUGAGUGCAAACAAUUCACCUGGCACUGGUAUCAAAAGAGCUGGAUAUAAAGGAACUGAAGAUUCAUCAGUCCAAAACACCGUAAGGUGCACCACUAGAAGUAGCCCAGGUUUGGAAGACCAUGUUCUGGAUUCUCCACAGCUGGAGAGUCAUAAUCCUUGGUUAGCAACAUCACCAGCUAAAUCUCCUGUGAUAGCACCUGUCAUGUUUUCAGCUAUUAUAGAGGAAGAGCUCCAGCAAGAAGCUGCUCUUAUUAGGAGCAGAGAAAAACCUUUGGCUUUGAUCCAGAUUGAGGAGUGUGCUAUUCAAGAUUUAUUAAUCCACUACGAAGCUUUUGACAACCCUGAUGAAUAUGUGACUGUUGAAAGGGCUCCACAGGGACCUAUAGCAACACCUAUGUGGAACAAGCACUAAUUUGCACUCUUCACAAUCCAUGUUGUAUGUGCACUUCUGAGGUUCUAAUUCUCAUUACAAGUGGAAUGGGACUGGAAGAACAGGAAUCCUAGUUUUUGACAUCGGCAUUCAAACACUGCACAUAAUCACUAGGUAUUUGUUAGACAGAAUGGAAAUAAUGUGUUCACUGUGUCCCUUACCCACAGUAUAUAUCGUAUGUUUGUUUUAAGAGAAUUUCUUUAACAAGACGUAUUAUUAGUAAUAUUACACAAAGCUGUAGGUUGGAAAUGCAUUUGCUAAUCUAAAAUUGUGAAGAUUUUUUGUUAAAUUCACAGGUGGCUGAAAAGCAAAUGAUUGUUUUGUGAUUUAAUGUGGAAUUGAAUGUACAGAAUUAUACAUCUUUAAAGUUGGAGGGGGUGUGUUCUUCAGAGCUUUUGGGUGAAUUUGGAAUAUUGCAAUAUGUUUGUGCUUGAACUUCACAUAAAAGUACAGUUUGAUAAUGCAGUUUUCCUAAUUUAUAUAAGUAAGUAUGGGUUCCCUGAUUGUCACAGCCGGUACUUUUUACUGUCAUGCUCCACAAUGAAGCUCGGCGCUGUACCCAAGUGCCAUUGCCUGCUCUCAGCUCAGGUGUGCGUGUUUUGUUUCUGGGGUGGGACUGGCCUUUGAGCAGUCAGCACCGUGGAGAAGUAAAGCACACAGAUGAAUAGAGCAUGGUAGCACUUAAUUAGCUCAUCUGUUGUCUUACUCUGCUAAAUAUGGUACAGUUUUAGAACCACUGUGUUUAAGGUACAAUUCACUUGAAGUGCUGGGGAAAUAAAUGAUCUGUGUAUUCAUUGUUAAAGCUAUAGGGAUGAAUGCUUGACUGUGGAAUUUGCGAACACCUAACCUUCAAAGAUUAUCAUAGGUGGCUUUCAGUAUUGUGUGUUCCAAAGUUCUUUGUGCCUGGUUUAAACAAAUUUAUAUAUGUAUUAAAAAGAAAAAAAAAAAGAAAAAAGGAAAAAA